rnacentral:misc_RNA from 1 species
GAUGAAGAACGUAGUGAAAUGCGAUACUUGGUGUGAAUUGCAGAAUCCCGUGAACCAUCGAGUCUUUGAACGCAAGUUGCGCCCGAAGCCUCGGCUAAGGGCACGUCUGCCUGGGCGUCACGCAUCGCGUCUCCCCCAAACCGCCAAGGCGGAGGGGAAGGAAGAUGGCUUCCCGUGCCUCACCCGGGCGCGGUUGGCCUAAAUUUGGAGCCCGCGGCACUUAGCUCUCGCGGCGAUAGGUGGUGAACAAGGCCUUGGCCGUGCAAACAACCCGCUGCGAACCUCUAUGUCACGUGCGCUCGUCGGACCCUUUGAAGUUGCCUUUGGUGACUUAAAACCUUUGCGACCCCAGGUCAGGCGGGGCUACCCGCUGAAUUUAAGCAUAUCAAUAAGCGGAGGA